GAAGGUGUUGGAGGCAAAAUUACCAGUAAAUAGGAGUUGGGGUUGUCAAUGAAGAUUCAGAAGACCAAAAAAAAAGGAAGAAAGAUCGGUUUAUUCACAGAUCUUGAUACUUGGUUUGAGCGGAAAAGCUAUUCACAUUUUUACUUCACCAUCUCUCAAAGCACCUGCUUGUUGUCUUCUUUGGGAGGAUUCGUGUAGGUACCCUACUAUGGUGUGCGGUUAUUUGUUUUCGGUUUGACUCCAUAUGACGACAUUUUCAUCGUAUGUGGUGUUGGAGUAGCAGUUAGGUUUUUGACUCCAGCCCUCUCUUGCACUGCUGAGGUUAAUAUCAUCUUCUACAGAAAGUGUUGUUCAAUUGGCCAGUGAUAUUGCAUUAUUGGGGGUCUGUGUCUGCGAAGUCACUACAGAAGCACUUAUUGAAGCGUAGUCAUUGGUGAGUUUUUCAAGAUAUUCGAGGCAUUCUCAAAGACUUCGACAACGGGAUGAAGAAUAUUGAAAGUCUUUUCAUGAAGUGAAGGAGAAAUUGGAUAAGUUUCAGUCUUGGGCUGGAAAAUAUAGUCAUUCCCACAGACAAGUCAAUAGGUUCAACAAAUGCGGCGAAGUUGCAAGCUCAGAAUGAACAUUAGGAUGCCGAGGGGAGUCUGAUGGCAAAAUGACUGAAAACUCCAGUAAAGAGAAAACAUCACUUCUUUGAUGCCAUUGGGGUCUUGCUAAAACAAUCUUAGCGGUUCAACUGGGCAGACCAUUGGGAUAAGCAAGCUCGGGGAAAGAUAAGCUGUGAGCCAAACAUCAGGUGAACAUACUAAGCAGAACCUGCAAUUUUAUCCUUCUUCGAGCUCCCUUCAAGAAUGAAAAGGGAAUUCGUUGUAUCUGGAUCUCUAGUCUUGAAGUCUGGCCUUACUCGAGCAAUACACAAGAUUCACAGCUGAUAUCAUUGCCGUGGAUCAUGAAAAUCACACAUUUUUUGCUCUACUUGGACUCUACCGAGUUGUCUAUGGAAUUGAUGUCUUUGACCCCAAGUUGAACAUUGGCUCAUCUGGAGCUGAUAUGGACAUAAGCUUAAAACUUGAACAUCGUGAAACUCACUGUCAUCUUACAAAGAAAGGCUCAUGACAUUGUCGGGUUUAUGGAUUCUGGAAGUACCCCUUAAACCUUGAACAUCGUGAAACUCACUAUCAUCUUACGAAGUUUUGUGCUCUCAAGAAUUGCACAUUGGCAGUGGGAGUAACUCGGGCGUCUGACAAGUAAAGAUUACAAUAUGAAUGCUGAGUUGAAGUUUUGAAGCAAAAGAAAGAUGUCUUUGUGGUUUUCAUUGGUUUAGACUUUAGAUGGCAGCUUCUACAAAAAUUUACUAGUUAGAUACAAUUUGGGGUUGCUGUAAUUUUUUGUACUUUGCGGUGGUUACAAAAUAGAACAAAUUUUUGUUUGCCAAGUGAUCUUAAAAUUCUAGUUAAUGUGGCGAAACAAUUCGACAUACUGUGGAAAACGAUUGUCUUAAGAUUCUUGUCAGUCAGUUUUCAAGUCUUGAAUGAAAUUACAAAUUUACUGUUGCCAAUGAGCUAAACUGGCAGCAA